rnacentral:rRNA from 1 species
UACGAAGGGGGCUAGCGUUGUUCGGAAUCACUGGGCGUAAAGCGCACGUAGGCGGAUCUUUAAGUCAGAGGUGAAAUCCCAAGGCUCAACCUUGGAACUGCCUUUGAUACUGGGGAUCUUGAGUCCGGGAGAGGUGAGUGGAACUGCGAGUGUAGAGGUGAAAUUCGUAGAUAUUCGCAAGAACACCAGUGGCGAAGGCGGCUCACUGGCCCGGUACCGACGCUGAGGUGCGAAAGCGUGGGGAGCAAACAGG